AACGAACGCUGGCGGCAGGCUUAACACAUGCAAGUCGAACGCAUCCUUCGGGGUGAGUGGCAGACGGGUGAGUAACGCGUGGGAACGUGCCCUUCAGUUCGGGAUAACCCAGGGAAACUUGGGCUAAUACCGGAUACGUGCGAGAGCAGAAAGAUUUAUCGCUGAAGGAUCGGCCCGCGUCUGAUUAGCUAGUUGGUGAGGUAACGGCUCACCAAGGCGACGAUCAGUAGCUGGUCUGAGAGGAUGAUCAGCCUCACUGGGACUGAGACACGGCCCAGACUCCUACGGGAGGCAGCAGUGGGGAAUAUUGGACAAUGGGCGCAAGCCUGAUCCAGCCAUGCCGCGUGGAUGAUGAAGGCCUUAGGGUUGUAAAGUCCUUUCGGCGGGGAAGAUAAUGACGGUACCCGCAGAAGAAGCCCCGGCUAACUUCGUGCCAGCCGCCGCGGUAACAC
rnacentral:rRNA from 1 species